rnacentral:rRNA from 1 species
GAGUAAUGCCUAGGAAAUUGCCCUGAUGUGGGGGAUAACCAUUGGAAACGAUGGCUAAUACCGCAUGAUGCCUACGGGCCAAAGAGGGGGACCUUCGGGCCUCUCGCGUCAGGAUAUGCCUAGGUGGGAUUAGCUAGUUGGUGAGGUAAGGGCUCACCAAGGCGACGAUCCCUAGCUGGUCUGAGAGGAUGAUCAGCCACACUGGAACUGAGACACGGUCCAGACUCCUACGGGAGGCAGCAGUGGGGAAUAUUGCACAAUGGGCGCAAGCCUGAUGCAGCCAUGCCGCGUGUGUGAAGAAGGCCUUCGGGUUGUAAAGCACUUUCAGUCG